AUGGAAAGGCCUUGGAAAGGAACGCUGGUACCGUGUUAUUCAACGGACAAAAACCUCUUCGCUGCUUCUACCUCCAUCUCUGUUGGCAAUGGGCAGAUCACUGGCUUCUGGCACAAAAGAUGGCUCGAUGGGGAGUCGCCCAAAGAAAUUGCACCAGACGUGUUCCCUUUAGCUUGGAGGAAAAACCUGAAUGUUAGGGAAGCUCUGAAUGAGGGAAGGUGGAUGCGUGGAAUUCAAUGGAUGUCUACUGAGAACCCAAUUCACCAAUUCAUCAGGUUGUGGGAGAAGGUGCAAGCGAUCCAUUUGACUAGUGAAAGGGAUAAAAUCUCAUGGAAGCUCUCCAGCAAUGGUUGUUACUCGGCCAAGUCAGCUUAUGAUGCUCAGUUCAUCGGCCGGAUAGAGCAGCCCCACCUUGGCAUGGUUUGGAGGACUAAGGCUGAGCCGAAAGUCAACUUCUAUACCUGGCUGCUACUGCAGGACAGAAACUGGACGGCCGACAGACUUGGGCGCCUGGGAUGGCCGCACAGUCCAGUGUGCCCUCUAUGCAAUCAGGCUCCGGAGACGGCUGUGCAUCUGCUCCUCCAUUGCCCGUUUGCCAAGGGGCUCUAG
rnacentral:rRNA from 1 species